GUGAUUUGUUUCUUCGCCCAACCAACCAAUAACAAUGUGUUGCCUGUUGGGCGAGACUUUUUUAUUCUUUGGUUUACGGAUCCGCCGACCGUAAAUAUUCAGAAAGUGAAAAAUAAAAAAAAACUGGAUGUCAACAAUUUUAGUUAAUUUUAGUUAAUUUGGGGUUCUGACAUGAAGUACACGCCAAGUAAACUUUGACUCUAAAGUACUACUGGCUCAUGUUAUCGUUGUGACAAUCUUGAAAAACAAUGUUUUUUUUUAGUUUUAUUUUUUUCCGACCUACCGACCUGUAGUUUUCCAAGUAAAAUCCGUAAACCAAUAAAUAAAAAAAGUCUCGCCUUGGUUUAAUUUUCAUGCUUUUUGUGACAAUCUUCAGGCCUGAAGUUUGAUAUAUAGUUCAACCAAGUGAAGUGCAAUUAACAUCUUUCAAAUGAAAACAUAGUUAUUAGUUUCCCUAGCGAAAGUACUGUACGAUACACACGUCACGUGUGACCAGAUGUGGUAAUUUCAUUACUACCGUGGUAAUUUUUCGUCAUUUUUGGAGGAUUGUGGUAAUUGGAAUUUUGUGGUAAUUACUACGGUAAUUUCAGAACUACCGUGGUAAUUUUUCGUCAAUUUUGGUCGAUUGUGGUAAUGUGAAAUUUCCAGACCUUAAUUGUACAGAUUUUGGUGAAAAAACCCUAAAUCUUACAGAUUUUGGUGAAAAAAACUGGUUUGGGCAAAAAAAAACAAAAAAACCAAAAAAUUUUUUUGAACCCUAAUUUAAGAGGUGGUUCUCCGGAAAAAUUUUGG